rnacentral:rRNA from 1 species
CGAACGAGACUCAAACUUUUUUAAAUAGAUGCUUGCAGGUUUAUGACGCUGAAACUAUGUGUGCGGGUGCUGUGGCUGUGCAAGCAGUCAUUGUGUCUGUGCGUAUGGUGGAGUUAUACCUGUUUGGUUUGUCUUAAGAGGACACUUUGCUUCUUAAAUGGACAAAAUGCGUCUAGCAUUAACGAGAUUGAGCAAUAACAGGUCUGUGAUGCCCUUAGAUGUCCUGGGCUGCACGCGCGCUACAAUGAAGGUAUCAAUGUGUUUUAUCCUUGACCGAGAGGUAUGGGUAAACAUUGAACCACCUUCUUGGUUGGGAUUGUGGACUGUAACUGUUCACAUGAACCCGGAAUUCCCAGUAAGUGUGAGUCAUAAGCUUGCAUUGAUUACGUCCCUGCCCUUUGUACACACCGCCCGUCGCUACUACUGAUGAAUUGUUUAGUGAGGUCUCUGGACGUGUGCGCCGAAAUACUCUUGUAGUAAUUUGGUUUGUUACACAGAAGUUGACCGAACUUGAUUAUU